UCUUUCUCCCAGUCUCCCCGUCUCUGCAGGCUUGUGUGAGUGUCGGAUGUGGUGUUAUGUCUUUCCUCAUGGGCUUGAGCUGCUUAAUUGAACAGCUCUACUUCCCAACAUCAUUUCUAUCAAAGUGAAAUGAUGUGGGCCUAGCAGGAUAUCUUCAAAAAAACGACAGAUGUGUGAUUGUUACCGACAGCUACAGUACUGCACAUCUCAGAUGAAAUACAGAAGCAAGGUGGGGGCUGUGCCUGAGAAUGUAACUGAUCUCAAAUGACCCAGACAUCGCAGGACUGUGUUCUCAGAGGCAGGUGGACCCUUCUCAUUAGGCUUGUGUCCACUCACCUCCGUCUCCCGUUCAGUCAGCUGGGCUCACCUACCUGCCUGCUCCCCUCACAUCACCUCCACGGCACUCCCCCUCGCUCUUCGCCUGUUCGCCAGCCACCACAUCCCUUCCCACCUCUGUCUCCUUUCCCCCUCGGCCCUCUCGCCUGAACCUCUCCAGCCCCUUCAGCCCCUCAACUCCCCUUCAGCCCCUCAACUCCCCUUAUUCCCUUAAUAAAUCUCUUUAAAACCAGAA